GAAACGCGAUAAGUAGUGUGAAUUGCAGAAUUCAGUGAAUCAUCGAAUCUUUGAACGCACAUUGCGCCCUUUGGUAUUCCUUAGGGCAUGCCUGUUCGAGCGUCAUCUAAACCUUCAAGCCCUGCUUGGUGUUGGGUGCCUGUCCCGCCUCCGCGCGCGGACUCACCUCAAAUCCAUUGGCGGCCCCCGCGUCGGCCACGAGCGCAGCAGAAACGCGAACUCGUGAGCCCGUCCGGGCGGCUCCCAGAAGCUACACCCACCCAGUUUGACCUCGGAUCAGGUAGGGAUACCCGCUGAACUUAAGC
rnacentral:misc_RNA from 1 species